rnacentral:misc_RNA from 1 species
GAAAUGCGAUAAGUAAUGUGAAUUGCAGAAUUCAGUGAAUCAUCCAAUCUUUGAACGCACAUUGCGCCCGCCAGUAUUCUGGCGGGCAUGCCUGUUCGAGCGUCAUUUCAACCAUCAAGCCCCCGGCUUGUGUUGGGGACCUGCGGCUGCCCGCAGGCCCUGAAAAACAGUGGCGGGCUCGCUGUCACACCGAGCGUAGUAGCAUACAUUCUCGCUCAGGGCGUGCUGCGGGUUCCGGCCGUUAAACGACCUUCAUAACCCAAGGUUGACCUCGGAUCAGGUAGGAAGACCCGCUGAACUUAAGC